rnacentral:rRNA from 1 species
UACGUAGGGGGCAAGCGUUGUCCGGAUUUAUUGGGCGUAAAGAGCGUGUAGGCGGCCAGGUAGGUCUGCUGUGAAAACUCGAGGCUUAACCUCGAGCUGUCGGCGGAAACCAUCUGGCUAGAGUCCGGAAGAGGAGAAUGGAAUUCCCGGUGUCAGCGGUGAAAUCGCGGAUAUCGGGAAGAACACCCGUGGCGAAGGCGGUUCUCUGGGACGGUACUGACGCUGAGACGCGAAAGCGUGGGGAGCGAACAGG